CCGCACCACUCCUCCUUCUCUGUCUUUGGCUGCUUCGCACACCCCCUUUCUCUGUUCGUUGCAAGGCCGCCAGGAGUUUCGACGAUGGCGCGGCAGAGAAGGGGUGGUGAGGAUUACAGCUACCGACUGCCACAGGAGGAGACGCGGGAUUGGCGAACUUGCGUUGAAAGAAGUUAGCGAGCACGGUGCGCAGGGAGCGGGAUGGGACCUGCUUCCUGCUCAGAAGGCGUGCUCACAUGAACGCAACAUGCCACGCGCCACCACACCUACUUGCGAAACGAAGAAAGAAGGUAACAGAAUCGGACACUGCAUGUCUGUGCGCAUACAUUUUCUUCACUGUGUACAACCACACUAUGUGCAGCUGGCUGUCACUGCCCCCCCCCCCUACCCGGUGCUUUCCGCAAGUGAGGGCUCAUGAAAAGCGUAUCCCUGUGCGCCGUGCGAAUGGCCAGAGGGAAGACAUAAGCAAGACUCUAUGACGGUGGGCACGUGUGGCGACCUGGAGCAACAGAAAAUGUGCAGAGGGUGCGGAAACGCGGGCCUGCUGAUGAGCAUCCUUUUCUUUCACCCCAUCUUUACUUUUUCCCGCCUCCGCAUUCUCGACGCGCCAAUGACUACACCCGCAGACACAGAGACACCCAUCAGCCGCACGCACGCACGCAGCCGAGCAUGCUCUUCUCUGCGACUCGUCAGCUGCUUGCCCUGCGCGCCAAGCAGCGCGCAACACGGGCAGCUGUGUUGGAGCAGAUGGCGGCCUACGAGGCCGCCAGGCACGCGUACGAAACCGCGCAGCGUCAGGAGGCAGAGCUGCGAGCGAUGUUGCGCGCCGCGGAGGCGCGCACGACACAGCUGCUCCAAGACUUUGACGAUGCGGAGGCCCAACUGCGCAAAACCACGACCGACCUCAGCCACAAUCAGUUUCUCUGUCACUCUCUUGAGAGUCGCAUCGCAGAACAUGUCAGGUGCCAGCGCUCGGCUGUGCUGCUGCUGGCUCCGCCAUCUUCGUCGAUAUCGCAGUCAUCAGCACCGCCACGGCUGUGCCACAUGGAUCCCUACAGUCUCUUGCACACGCCCACGGGUGAGGCCUUUACGUACGACCUUGUCGAACUCAGCAGCUGUGCGUCGGCGGACCAGGCGGUGGGGAUGCUCAGCGGUGGGGAGAGCGAUGACGGUAGCGCGACGGAGGGCAGAAACGACGCGGCCGACGCGGCGGUUGGGAGGAGCAACGAUGAAGGUGAUGAUAUCGACGCAGAGGCGAACCAGCUUCCAAACAGCCCAAGCAUCACGUCUCUCUUGACUGAAGCCGUCCGGGACGCGCUUCAUGGCUAUCACUACACACUCCUGUGCACGUCUUCCGGUGGCUGCCGCCUCUGCGCCCACGACGAAAAUCUGACGAACAACGUGUGCCCAGGCACAGUGCCUUCAACCAGCGACGUGCCAGCCGCGGCACACGGACAGCCCAGCAAGCAUUGGUGGACGUGCCAGCCGGCGAGCUUGUGUCUGCGCCUCCUUCAGCUCCUUCAGCGAGAAGCGGCGAGCAGUGGCAUUCGUGCGCUCAGCAUCACUGUCGCUGCCGGCUGCGUUGAUGAGAGGGAAGCGGCACACAUCCCUGGGUCAGGAGUCACGACAAGGACAGCGUCGGCCAAGGCGUCCCAUCGUGCAGCUGUGGCGUGUGGCUGGACGGACCUGCUUCUGCCGGCAGCCGCGCGGCACCAGCAGGUGACCGUCUCCAUGGAGGCUGCGCCAUCACAAGAAGGCGAGGAGACGGCACUGCCAUCGAUGAUGUCCGACGUGAGGGUUAUGCGGGGAACGAGUGGCGGCAGCGCUGGAGUCGGUUCUUGGCUCGAAGCCGCUUGCACGCGUCCCAACGACCGCCACAUUUUACUGCCGUCGACGCCUUGUGCAGCUGCGGCCAAGGGGGCUCCGCUGACAACGCAUGCGCCCACCCUCGAAGGCGUGCCUGUAGGCUCCAUCGAGGCGGCAGCGUUCUGGCUGCGGGAGGCCGGCCUCCUCUCCACACCGGACACCUCGAACAUCCCCAAGGACAGGGCAGCGCUGCAAUCCUCUACCGCGACUUCCACCGAGCACGCCGAUGCGCAGGCGACGACUGCUGCUUCCUCUGUGGUGGUCCUCCUCGUGGGCGUGGACAGCCAGGACGCAACAGGCAAGCUGCACAGGAGCCUUCUGCGCGUCGUCAGCGACACUCACUUCGACCCGGGGUGCUUUGCCAGUGCCAGGCCGUUGCUGAAGAGCGGCCGCGGGGGCAUCAAUGCCGAUCCUCCCGCAUGCUGCUCUCCUUCGACGUUCGCACUGUACAUGUCUCAUGCCUUGGGGGCCGUUGCUCGCGCGGCCGCCGAAAAGACGCCGGAUGCGCCGGACACAGGGCGGUCUGCCACACAGGUGAACGGCGAGCAUGAUGGCACUGCUGCGAGCUCUCCCGUUCCGAUGCCGCUGCUGCAGCGAGCACAGGUGGCGCCCCUCGCUGCCUGCGAGAUACGCGCUGCUGCUCAAAGUAUCUCUUUGCAAUGCCCCGCCGAGGUGUGUGCCGUCUCGGCCGCAGCUCGCGGAUACGCCUCCUCGCGCUCUCAACUCGAUGCGGCUUGGUCGCUCUGGGCGGCGCUGCUGCGACCUGUGUUUGGAGGCAACAGCAAGGCACUGUGGCUGCAUUGCACGAGCGUUGGCGGGCGUGGCGGAGGCAGCAGAGGCACAGACGCCAGCAUAGGCUUCCGUGACUCUGCAGAGAGCGCCUCUAGCCCCGGCGGCCCUCCUUCUCCGCCCGUUCCCCGCGACGAUACAGCAGCGCUUCGGCUGAGCGCGCUUUUCUGCCGAGUGGUGCGCCACGACGCCGUCGCCUCCGAGGUGUCCCCAGACCUGGCGCGUCUUGUGCGCGUCUGUCUGUGAGAUGUCAGUGCUCGCCGUCCACGCCAUCCGUGCACGAACGCCCCGCCCAUAGUCAGCCGGGAACACACGCCACCACGGCACGCCCUUGCGCACACCUCUUUCACACGGCCGCUGCCGUUUCAAGCGUCAGAGGCGUUGCCCUUCGCCUUGCUCUCUGCUAGAGGGGUCGUGCCUCCUCUCCUUUGCGGCGCGCACCCCCAGCAGCUUUUCAGCGUGCUACCGCCUCGGUGAUGUGGUAGACCGCACCGCAUAGAC
rnacentral:misc_RNA from 1 species